rnacentral:rRNA from 1 species
UGACCUCGGAUCAGGUAGGGAUACCCGCUGAACUUAAGCAUAUCAAUAAGCGGAGGAAAAGAAACCAACAGGGAUUGCCCUAGUAACGGCGAGUGAAGCGGCAACAGCUCAAAUUUGAAAGCUGGCCUUCGGGUCCGCAUUGUAAUUUGUAGAGGAUGCUUUGGGGAGGCCGCCUGUCUAAGUUCCUUGGAACAGGACGUCAUAGAGGGUGAGAAUCCCGUAUGUGACAGGAAAUGGCACCCUAUGUAAAGCUCCUUCGACGAGUCGAGUUGUUUGGGAAUGCAGCUCUAAAUGGGAGGUAAAUUUCUUCUAAAGCUAAAUAUUGGCGAGAGACCGAUAGCGCACAAGUAGAGUGAUCGAAAGAUGAAAAGCACUUUGGAAAGAGAGUUAAAAAGCACGUGAAAUUGUUGAAAGGGAAGCGCUUGCAAUCAGACUUGUCUAAACUGUUCGGCCGGUCUUCUGACCGGUUUACUCAGUUUGGACAGGCCAGCAUCAGUUUCGGCGGCCGGAUAAAGGCUCUGGGAAUGUGGCCCCCACUUCGGUGGGGGUGUUAUAGCCCAGUGUGUAAUACGGCCAGCCGGGACUGAGGUCCGCGCUCGGC